UACGUAGGGUGCGAGCGUUGUCCGGAAUUAUUGGGCGUAAAGAGCUCGUAGGCGGUCUGUCGAGUCUGCUGUGAAAACUCAGGGCUUAACCCUGAGCUUGCAGUGGGUACGGGCAGACUAGAGUGCGGUAGGGGAGACUGGAAUUCCUGGUGUAGCGGUGAAAUGCGCAGAUAUCAGGAGGAACACCGGUGGCGAAGGCGGGUCGCUGGGCCGUAACUGACGCUGAGGAGCGAAAGCAUGGGGAGCGAACAGG
rnacentral:rRNA from 1 species